UUUCCGUAGGUGAACCUGCGGAAGGAUCAUUAUUGAAAAUAAACCUGAUGGGUUGUCGCUGGUUCUCUAGGGAGCAUGUGCACGCCUUGUCAUCUUUAUAUCUCCACCUGUGCACCUUUUGUAGACCCCUCCAGGUCUAUGUCGCUUCAUUUACCCCAAUGUAUGUCAAUAGAAUGUAUGUGCAUAUGAAAUCUAUACAACUUUCAGCAACGGAUCUCUUGGCUCUC
rnacentral:misc_RNA from 1 species